rnacentral:rRNA from 1 species
CCUACGGGUGGCUGCAGUGAGGAAUAUUGGUCAAUGGACGAGAGUCUGAACCAGCCAAGUAGCGUGAAGGAUGACUGUACAGUGGGUUGUAAACUUCUUUUAUCUGGGAAUAAAGUGGUCCACGUGUGGGAUGUUGUAUGUACCAUAUGAAUAAGGAUCGGCUAACUCCGUGCCAGCAGCCGCGGUAAUACGGAGGAUCCGAGCGUUAUCCGGAUUUAUUGGGUUUAAAGGGAGCGUAGGUGGAUUGUUAAGUCAGUUGUGAAAGUUUGCGGCUCAACCGUAGAAGUGCAGUUGAAACUGGCAGUCUUGAGUACAGGAGAAGUAGGCGGAAUGCGUGGUGUAGCGGUGAAAUGCUUAGAUAUCACGCAGAACUCCGAUUGCGAAGGCAGCUCACUGG